UGAUGACCCAGUGAUAGGAAGCUU
rnacentral:misc_RNA from 1 species